UUUAUUUGUAAUUGCCAAAACUUGGAAACAACCCCAAUGUCCUUCAGCUGGUGAAUGAAGGAACAAUGGUACAUCUGUACAAUGGAAUACUACUCAGCAACGAAAAGGAAUAAACUGUUGAUUCACACCACAUCAUGAUUUUUUUUUUUUUUUUGGUGAGGAAGAUUGGCCCUUAGCUAACAUCUGUUGCCAAUCUUCCUUUUUUUUUUUUCCUCCCCAAAGCCCAGUAGAUAGUUGUAUAUCCUAGUUGUAAGUCAUUCUAGUUCUUCUAUGUGGGAUGCCGCCACAGCAUGGUUUGAUGAGCAGUGUGUAGGUCUGCACCCAGGAUCUGAACUGGUGAACCCCAGGCCACCAAAGCAGAGUGUGCAAACUUAACCACUCGGCCACAGGCCAGCCCCCGUGGAUGAAUCUUAAAUGCACUUUGCUAAAUGAAAAAAACCAGACCUAAGACUACAUAUUGUAUGUAUAACACUCCUGAGAAGAUAAAACCAUACAGACAGAAAACAUGUCAGUAGUGGCCAUGGGCUGGAGGAAUGGAGGGGUUGACUAUAAAGGGGCAGCAUGAGCAGAACCGGGGGUGUGGAACUGUUCUGUGUCACACCGUGGUAGUGGAUACUGCCUCUACACAUGUCAAGAUCCACAGAACUGCGGGCCACGAAGAGUGACUUUUACUGAAUGUACGUAGUUAUCAGUCAACCAGGAUGUGGAGAGAAAGACGGAGUGCACCCUGCAGCAAGCGCAUCACGUGACCGCACUGAAGCAGGUGGGGAAGAAAGGAGGGACCCAAACAGCUGGGGGAAGUGUUCUGAGUAGAUAAGGAAAAACUAAAAAGAAUUGUGUACAAAUGCUACUCUGGUUGGCAAAUUUGUUUCUCACAGAGCUACUGUUUAGCAAUUCUCAAGUUACCUUAAACGUAGGAUUGAACAAAUCAGUAAAUUAUUGUAGGUAAUGAGGAUCAGGUGUCCUGCCGUUACAAACAAGGAAGGAGAGAUGGCUGGAAGGCCUCCUGGGGUACUGGCCUGGAGCUGGAGGGACUCGCGGAUUCUGUUUUGGAUACAUAUGGACAGAUACACGAAUACCGAAGUGUAGGCACAUGGCUUAGCACAUUCCAUACACUUCCCAGUUUGACCCACUGCACCGAGGGACUGGCCGCAGCGACACCCAGUAGCAACGAGCAUACCUCACAGCCAGCUUUUGGUUUCUAACACCCUCCUCCAAUAGAAGGAGCAAGCGCUCCUUGGAGAAGAGGCGGAUUUCAGGGCUUGAACAGGAAGAGCAGGUGAGCCUGGACAUUGUGGUGCCAGGAAGUCAUGAAGCGCUAAAAAACCAAAAGCAGAAACAAACAGCAACGUUGAAAGGGCACAGAUCCAACCUGAAAGAGUCCAAUGGCCGAAGUUAGAACAGCUCGAGCAAAUAAAGAACACAGUGUUGGAUCACACCCCAAACAACAUAAACACCCAGGAGUCCAUGCCAAUACAAACGAGUAACUGAAUAAAGAGGCAAAUAAAUGAGAAGUGACAACUCUUCCUUACAGCGGAAUUCCAAUUAUAUUACGUGGAAGGAUGAGAAAAACAGAAGAUGACCAUUGGAACACCAGGCAGUGGGCAAAGCGUAAGCAAAAACAUGCCAUCUGCACAGUUUCGGUCUUUCCUCCCAGGCAGCUCUAAGUUACAAACGGAACAGCAGGCAUUUCACAGUGGGGAGAGCAGGAGACCCCGCCGUAGUCGAGUGACCAGGGUUGAUGCCAGCAGUCACACAGACGCCGUCCACCCCAAUGUGACGUACUGAGGGUGCCUCUCUGCGUCGUCCUUCCCAACAACGAACGACUGUAUGAGAAAACAUCAAACCCAAACUGAGGGCUUCUUCAAAACCCUUCAAAAGCAGCAAAGCGACAGGGGAGGACUGAGAAACCGUCACAGGCUGAAGGGGACUCACGAGACAUGACAACUAACGCAACUUGGGAUCGUGUACUAGGUCCUGAAACAGGAAAAGGACAUUAUGCAUGGGAAAAACUCGUGAGAGCCAAAUAGCCUGUAGUUUGGUUGAUGUGAGCCAUGUGAAUGUCUUAGUUUUGAUAACUGUUUUCUGGUCAUGGAAGACGUCAACAUAAGGGGGAGCCAGGUGAAAGCUAUGAUGGAACUCCCUAUUUUUGCAAUUUUCCUUUAGAGCUAAAAUUAUCUCCAGCUAAAACGAUGAAUUACAAAUACAAAGAAAUACACUGGAAGGGUAAGCACCAGAUUCAGGCUAACAGUUAAUUCUCGUGGGGAGGCAGCUGAUGAAAUCAGGGAGCGGUAUCACCAGCGGCUUCAAGCAUGAGCCAUGUUUAUUUCUUGUGCUCUGGGGAUGGUAUGUGGACAUUUAUUUUGUAAAUCACAUUUAUAUGCAUGAAAUAUCUCAUAACACCUUUCUGUGAAAAGCUUCAGACUUUAUAGAGAUGUCUGCCUGUAACUUAUUCAUUCACUCAAUAUUAUUGAGCACCUCUUAGAAAAUGUGGCUCCUGUGCUAACUCAAUUUCAGCAUCUAGUGGGAUUCAGUCCCGCUCCUGUGUCGGUUGUAGGCCAUAGUCUUUGUCACAAUUACUCAAUUCUGCCAUCGUAGCAAGAAAGCAGCCACAGACGAUACAUAGAUCAAUGGGUGUGGCUGUUCCAAUAAGUUACAUACAAAAACAGCCUUCGGGUAGCUUGCUGACCCACGAUGCAGCCGACUGAACAGAAUUUAGCCUGAGUUUUAAUUAAAACACACCACAGGGUGGAGCUCUGACCACGUUUUUACACCCGCAGACAUUUCACACAUGAAACAGAUGUACUUCCAGUAGCAGAUGCAGCUGUCCCCACGUCUUCCAAACCCUGACACAGAAAUUCACCAUCACAUGCCAGUUUCACACACAAUGUCAGCUACUGAGGAGCACAGCAGAUGCGAUCUUUCCCGUGGGCAUUACAGCCUUCAAACCGAGGAACUGACUCCACUGUUCCAGGGGAGGCCUGGGAACAUGUUCCUCUCUGCUUCUUGCUCCUUUCAUUUAUUUUGAUUAUUUUACCUUUUAUUCUGGGCUCUACUGUAGUAGACCAAAAUUAGUUUUAGAAUAUUUAUUAAACAUUUCAAAUCAGUACUUUAAGAAGAUACUUAUUAGAAUCUAAAACCACUUGAUUGUCUACAAUUUGCUAAACUUUAAAAAAGUUAAUACCUGUAUUAGAAUCCAGGUGGCGUUCACCACUGGGGAAAAAGGGAAGAAGGGACAAAAAAACAAAACCAACCUCACAAGCUCUUCCUCCUAUGCGGGUAAGACAGCAGGCAAAGGGAUUGGCCCCCUAAGCACCCAGAGAAGGCCGCUGAGGCGAUCCUCGAAGACUGUGACCGAGCCAGCAAAACCAAGGGGAGCAGGCAGAGGAAAGGGCACCGCAAAGGCUCUUGGGGUCACAGAACACCUGUGCCAGGGACACAGAUGGGACUCCGGGUUUCAAGGAGCAACUUAAAGAUAAGGUUUCUCCCUCCCCGCACCUUCCCUCUCUUCCUCUGGCUCCCGUCUCCAGACUGGACCCAUCGGGUAAAGUCUGAACCAGGCCUUCAUGCCAAGCUCUAGCACUAAGGGGAAAGCCUCUCCUAAGGGGAGAGAGCCCCCCCCAACUGCAGGAUAAAGAGCCAGGAGGUAUCAACUGAGGAGGCAGAAGCCUGGGAACACACUGGAAAGCCUUUUAUCUCAUCUAGCGUCCCGCACAUGGAGGAAUAAAACUUAAAAGUUCUCCAAAAAGAACAGGUUUUCCAUCUUUUUCAAGCUUCCUCUUUUCCACCCCAUCCCUAAUUCCAGAAAAUUCAUCUGUAUCCCAAGGACUGCUUCGGAUAUGCUGAGCUGAAGACACCAGAGUUAAUGAAUAAAAUGGCAAAAACACACCAGCAUCACGCAUACACAACCAUCAAAGAAUCAGAAUUUGGAAAAGGAACUUACUUCCCAAACCGAGAGACCACUUGAGAGAAGGAAUCGAGGAGACCUUAAGAAAUGGAAGGCAUUUUCUCUGCAGUUCAACACGUUCUCAGCUUCCAAAUGCUCUUCUGACAGACAGCUCCUUACUUAAAAACAGAUCUCCAAAGACACACAAACGGCCAACAAGCAGUGUCAUCAGUCACCAGAAUGUACAUCAAAACCACAAUAGAUACCACUCCACUCAUACUAGGAUGGCUAUAAUUUUUUAAAAAAGAAAAAUUAGUGUUGGCAAGGAUGUGGAAAAAUUGGAACCCUGGUGCAUUGCUGGUGGCAAUAUAAAAUGGAGCAGCCGAUGUGGAGAGUCUGGUGGUUCCUCGAAAAGUGAAACACAGCAUUACCGUACGCCCCGGGAAACCCACUCCUAGCUACAGAUCCAGGAGAACUGAAAGCUGGGGGC
ensembl:lncRNA